GUAGUUUGAUCAUGGCUCAGGAUGAACGCUAGCUACAGGCUUAACACAUGCAAGUCGAGGGGCAGGCAUGAACUUAGCUUGCUAAGUUUGAUGGCGACCGGCGCACGGGUGAGUACACGUAUCCAACCUGCCGAUGACUCGGGGAUAGCCUUUCGAAAGAAAGAUUAAUACCCGAUGGCAUAGUUCUUCCGCAUAGGUGGAACUAUUAAAGAAUUUCGGUCAUCGAUGGGGAUGCGUUCCA
rnacentral:rRNA from 1 species